GCUGGCGGCAGGCUUAACACAUGCAAGUCGAACGCCCCGCAAGGGGAGUGGCAGACGGGUGAGUAACACGUGGGAACGUGCCCAAAGGUACGGAACAACUCCGGGAAACUGGAGCUAAUACCGUAUGUGUCCGUAAGGAGAAAGAUUUAUCGCCUUUGGAUCGGCCCGCGUCGGAUUAGCUAGUUGGUGGGGUAAAAGCCUACCAAGGCGACGAUCCGUAGCUGGUUUGAGAGAACGACCAGCCACACUGGGACUGAGACACGGCCCAGACUCCUACGGGAGGCAGCAGUGGGGAAUCUUGGACAAUGGGCGCAAGCCUGAUCCAGCCAUGCCGCGUGGAUGAUGAAGGCCUUAGGGUUGUAAAAUCCUUUCGUCGGGGACGAUAAUGACGGUACCCGAAGAAGAAGCUCCGGCUAACUUCGUGCCAGCAGCCGCGGUAAUACGAAGGGGGCUAGCGUUGUUCGGAUUUACUGGGCGUAAAGCGCGUGUAGGCGGGUCGUUAAGUUGGGGGUGAAAUCCCGAGGCUCAACCUCGGAACUGCC
rnacentral:rRNA from 1 species